CUCGUGCUGGUUGCCCCUGUCAAUCCCAAACCAGAACCACCCACCUUCCGCCGCCGGCGACCAGCUACAGUGGAGCAGCUCAUCUGCGCCACCCUCCCAUCUCCGUCCAUUAAUCAGGCCCCUCCGCGCACCUUCCCGGCCGUCGAGGAUGCCGCGCCUGCCUCCCUGGCGCGAGGUCCAGCUCGUCGACCUGCUCAUCGUCAUCGCAGCACAGUCGGGGCUCUCAACCACCAGGUCUCCGGCGCGUAUCCUCAAAGGGUGCUGGCUCAUCUCCGUCUCUUCGCUGCUAUGCCAGCGACGUCCACGACCCCCUCCCCGCUCAUACCCACCCCUCCAGCAGUCCAGCUCCAAUGGCAGCAUGCCCGCCAUCUGCUCGAUGAAACGUCUGUGCCCAACCGACCAGCAUCUAUGCCAAAUCUACUGGAGGCUCACAAAGACAUCAACAUAUAUGAUGCCAACCUUCCUGAGAAGCUUUCCUGAUGUUGAGUCGCUGUGUAUCACGCCUGCAGAAUUUGAUCAGGCUCAACCUCAAGUUCUACGAAGAUCAGGCUGUUCCCAAAGUAAAUGUGUUGUUGUGCAUCAGGGCGAUCCCAUUUGGUGAGUUCCAGGGAGGGGGAGCAAUACGAGCUUUCCUUCCAUUGCAACCUCGUCAGGAGUUCACGUGUUCUAAAUUAUGCAGCCGUUCGGAUGGCCAAUUCUAGGUUCACUUCAAGGUCCAUGGAUCAGAUGCUAUCCACUGUGGAGAAUACGAGUAAUGAAAAUUGUGCCAGUGAGUGUAAGGUGGCUGUCUAUGAGAGUACUGGCCCUGAGGGAGGUAGACGCUGGACCUUUUAGCGAGGAGCAAAGUUUUCUGAUGAUAACCCUUUUGUACCAGUUGAAAUCCUCUAAUGUAGAUGGCAAUGAACUCUUGUACAGCAGAAAAUAUCUGGAAGAAGCAACUCACUAAUACCGAAGCUCUGAAAAGAAUCCAAAUAAACCCAUAGUUUUUAGAAACAGACCUCAAGGUCACAUCUUUCUCGGAGCUCUGCCUGAAGGUCUGGAUGAUGCGGGAAAAUGUGUUGAGCUGGAUCCUACUUAUCCGGUGGGUUAUGCAUGUCGAAGGUUCAAGCCCUGAUGCAGAUUUAUGAAAGUGCUAUGGCAAUAUACAUAGAGGGUUUGAAGUGUGAUCCAAAUAGUACCAUUGUAAUUGAUGGCUUUAAGAGAUGUGUGACAUGCAUUGAGAGGUCUAAAGGCGGUGAUGUUUGGCCUGAGGAUUUAGAAGACAUUUUGAGAGAUUGACAUUCGGACAUUGAUUUGUGUAAAGAAGUUUCUUAUGAGCCCUCGAGGCGGAUUGAAUCUGAACGAGUGGCCAAGGUAUCAGAGGCAAACAAGGUCCAACGACAGGAAGAAACUAAGGAACAUGUUUCCAAGAUAGUACAACAAGAGUUGCAACAAGUUAAAGCAUGACAAGAUGAGGUCGCUGAUGAGCUACAGAAAGCUAAUAAGCAUAAUGAGCAUGUUCGACAUCAACUCUUGGAGUGCAAGAAGGGUCAUAGUGAGGAACUUUAGAGAGCCAAUGAGCAUAGUUUGAAUCUUCAACAGCAGCUCUCGGAAUCCAAAGAGCAGUAUAAUGAGCUUAAGUCCAAGCAUGACGACUUACUAAGGAACGAGAUACUACACUCAAAGAGGUAGAAAAGUUAUGCCGGAGAAGAAGUUCGGCGAUGCCCUGCCAGUUUUCAUUAUCUGAACUGAAGUGAGCAACAGAAAAUUCCAUACUUCAUUUAAGUGCAGAGAAUGCCUGUUUAUCUCUGUGGUGUCCUUCGGAAGAUGAAAGUUGUAAUAAAGGUCCCAAUCUCUAGUUAAAUCAUGAAUCAGUCUCAUGGGCAUGAACCGGAUUAAAUUUGUCUCCUA